AGAGAGGUCUUUCCAUUCAGGGUAAACUCUUUCAAGGGCCAGCUCCUUUUCAUUGCUGGAUGCCAUUUAUUAAUCCAAGCAGUUCUCCGAAAGAUAACAGGCCUGGGCAAGGUCUUUCAGCCAAACCCACGGCGGCUCCUUUUUGGUCUUCCUUUCGGCUAGAAUUAAGAAGUCACCAAAGAAAGAAAAGUCAGCAAAGAUAAAGAACACUGAGUCUGUAUGGUGUCUUUUCCCCUUGUUCUAAUUUUAGGGAGCGAAACUCUCAAAUCAGGGCUUACAACCAAGUCUUAAUGAUGAAUAUUGCUGCUGGGUUUCCUUGGAAAGCUUAGGGAAGAGCUGGUGGAUUACCAGAGACGCUUCUGUACUACUGUUCAAACCAGACCUGCUUGUUUCCUUGUGAGCAAAUCAGCUACUUCUAGCUGCAGGAAAAUAAGUCACAGAUACAGAGGAACUUCCAAUAAACACCAAGAAAUCAGAGUAAAGGAGCCAUUUGUUUAUUGGUUUUAAUAGUAAUGCUGGUUCUAGCAAAGGUAUGGAUUACCAAAGAUGCAUCCCAGAAGGUUUUGGAAGAUGGCAGAAGCCUGAAUAAGAAAUAAAGGAAGAAACAGGGAACUGAAGUAUGGGAAGAAGAAUGAGCCAUGGGGAUUGGAGUAGCCCCCGAAGAAGGCCAAUUUGUGACAAGACCAAAACGUGUUGGGCUUUUAAAGAUAAUCACGUUUGUGGACCAUCAACAGCACAUGGGACUUUGUUUCUUUUAUCCCUUUCAAUAUAAAUAAAUACCAUCAUUAUCAUGA